CUCAACUCUAUCCAGGUUUGUCCAGGAGAUAUCAGGGUUCAACUCUAUCCAGGAGAUGUCUUGGUUUACAGUUCAGAUUAUUGGAAACAUGAAGUCAAUACUCUUGGUUCAGAUCUUAGUAUUUCUCUCCUGGUUGAAUACUAACCAUAACACAAUAAUAUACUAGCUUGGAAGCACAACUAUGCCAUUAAACUAAAAAAGUCAACUUAUUCAACUUUUUUAACCAAUCUAAGAAAACUCCUGUGGCUCUACCGAGUUCACCAAUAAAAAUUACAGGCAAAUCGGUCCAGGAUAUACGAAUAAACAAACACACAAAAAGAUUACUACUUUAUAUAUAUAUACAAUAGCUUGGGAACCCAGCUUUGUCCGGAAACUAAAAAUUCACUAUUAAAGUUAACCCAUUCCUUUGGAAUGGUUAAACCAAGCUAAGAACAUCCCUGUGGUUCUAACGGGUUCCCCCCAUUAAAAUUGGAGGCAAAUCGGUCAUGGGGUUGAUUAGUUAUGAUCGGAAAUACAAACAGACAAAAAGAGACAUACUGCUUUAUAGAUAUAGACUAUAGAAAUUGUUUAUGUACAGUAAGAAUGAGAAACUUUCUAAUUAAUAUUGCAUCCAAUGUCAUCAAAAUAAGUUAUUUAACAACAAUGCAAUAUUGUAAUAAUGUUAAUUUUUUAUCUUCAAUGAUAAUACAAUAAAAUAUUAAUUAUUA